GUGCUUACGUUGGCAGCACACAUAUUAAAAUUGAAACAAUGCAGAGAAGACUAACAUGACCCCUGCACAAGGAUGACACUCAAAUUUCUUGAAGUGUCCCAUAUUUUC
rnacentral:snRNA from 1 species